CGUCUGCUCCUCUUAAAUAUAUUAGCUGGAUCUCAGUGAGCUCGGUUCCACUCGGCGUGAUAAGUAUAUCACUCGCUGAGGACACUGUAAAAAAAAUAGUGGCCGGGAUUGCAGACGAACCGCUUCUAAUGGUCUAUUAGCUUAGACAAUUACUCUUAUGAUUUGAUCUCAAAUCAGGUAGGACUACCCGCUGAACUUAA
rnacentral:misc_RNA from 1 species